GUUGACCUCGGAUCAGGUAGGGAUACCCGCUGAACUUAAGCAUAUCAAUAG
rnacentral:rRNA from 6 species